GGCCACGAUUAGGUGGGCCUGUUGAGAGAUGCUAUAACUUUAUACCUGUUUGCUUUAGUUGAUUAGGCACAUCGUUAAAAUACAAUUUAUUGGAGUCCCUUCAAGAGGCUUUAUGAUGGUGUGGGCGUAGGGGCCGGUGAGACCUCCCGUCAUCCCAGCAAGGCACGCGUCCGUUCACCUUAAUGAAGGUCGAACCCGAGCCGGAAAGUAACUGAAUAUUUCACAGUACACCGACCAUUCGUCAAAUAAUAUAAUGCAAGUACUAAGACUAAGAAGAAACUGAUUCAAAACACGCUAGUGUGAAUCUCAGUGACGAAUUUCGUGAUGGCCUCCCGCCCACUGCUGUAGACAACAAAAACAUCGAUGCUGUGCGCCGUAUGAUCAAAACAGACAGGCAUGUGACAU